UGCUUAACACAUGCAAGUCGAACGAGCUUUUGCAGAAUAUCGCAAGAGCUAGUGGCAGACGGGUGAGUAUCACAUGGGUGAUUUACCUUCAAGAGGGAAAUAACCCCGAGAAAUCGGGGCUAAUGUCCCAUAAGACCACAGCCUUUCCUACGAAAGGCAGGGGUCAAAGCUCCUCAAGGGGCACUUGGAGAUGAGCCUGUGUCCUAUCAGCUAGUUGGUGAGGUAAUGGCCCACCAAGGCUAAGACGGGUAUCCGACCUGAAAGGGUGACCGGACACACUGGAAAUGAGACACGGUCCAGACUCCUACGGGAGGCAGCAGUGGGGAAUUUUGGACAAUGGGGGCAACCCUGAUCCUUCAACGCCGCGUGAGGGAUGAAGGUCUUCGGAUUGUUCUCCUC
rnacentral:rRNA from 1 species